UACGUAGGGACCAAGCGUUGUUCGGAUUUACUGGGCGUAAAGGGCGCGUAGGCGGCUUAACAAGUCACUUGUGAAAUCUCCGGGCUUAACUCGGAACGGCCAAGUGAAACUGUCAAGCUAGAGUGCAGAAGGGGCAAUCGGAAUUCUUGGUGUAGCGGUGAAAUGCGUAGAUAUCAAGAGGAACACCUGAGGUGAAGACGGGUUGCUGGGCUGACACUGACGCUGAGACACGAAAGCCAGGGGAGCGAACGGG
rnacentral:rRNA from 1 species